CCUACGGGUGGCAGCAGUGGGGAAUAUUGGUCAAUGGGCGCAAGCCUGACCCAGCAACGCCGCGUGAAGGAAGAAGGCUCUCGGGUUGUAAACUUCUUUUAUCAGGGACGAAGCAAGUGACGGUACCUGCUGACUAAGCCACGGCUAACUACGUGCCAGCAGCCGCGGUAAUACGUCGGUGGCAAGCGUUAUCCGGAUUUACUGGGUGUAAAGGGCGUGUGGGCGGGAAAGCAAGUCAGAUGUGAAAACCAUGGGCUUAACCUGUGGCCUGGAGUUGAAACUGUUUUUCUUGAGUACUGGAGAGGCAGACGGAAUGCGCGGUGUAGCGGUGAAAUGCGUAGAUAUUAGGAGGAACACCAGUGGCGAAGGCGGUCUGCUGGACAGCAACUGACGCUGAGGCGCGAAAGCGUGGGGAGCAAACAGGAUUAGAUACCCCUGUAGUC
rnacentral:rRNA from 1 species